rnacentral:RNase_P_RNA from 2 species
UCAGCAAGAUGAGUGAUUGCUCCUUUAAAUAGGAGAGGAAAGUCCGAACACCAUCCUGAACUAAUUUUUUAGUGAAGGAUAAAAUAGUAGUGGCUAACAGCCGCCCAUAGUAAUAUGCGAGGUGCGAACAGUGACGUACAAAAUCGAAAGGUUUUGUAUUCCCAGUUUUGGGAAAAUUCUGCAGUAAUGCAGAAGUGAAACGGCUAAAUCCUUAUUGGGUGCAAGAACAAAGCAGAAAAUCGGGUUAAAUUCAUCUCGAAAUUCUGUUAAAAGUAGUUCGCCAGAGCCAAGGAGUAAUUCUUGGCCCAGACAGAUAAUCACAUAAAACAGAAUUCGGCUUACAAUCUUGCUGAGAUA